UUGCUCCGGUACACCGGCCACGAGCUCAGUACCUUUACAUGUGUCGUGCAACAAGCGUGACAGUGGAACAAUGACCGCCGAGUGCCGAAAAAGCCAUCGAGCAACCUAUGGAAUCUGGUGAAAGUGAUUCAUUUAUCUGCACCCACAUCGUCUAUAGAGUCUCCAAGAUACGAUUUGUUAGAACCAGCUUUCAUGACCUCCCAAUGUUCGCGUUCAAGGCCAUCAAAAAGAAAAUUGGAAUCCACGGAUUCGGCUUUAGCUACCGAAGUUUUGAUGUCAAUUAAAGACCAUUUUAAGCGCCCGGAAAGUACUGAUGACCACUUCGACAUUGAAUGAAGCUACGCGAUUUGCCACAACAGCAAAGAAUUAUAGCUGAAGAACUUAUUAAUGAACCAUUGUUUGAAGCUGAGAUAGGUACUUUAACCAAGGAUAAUAGAUUAUUUGCCCAAGGGAUGACUUCGACAACAUUCAACACAUUUCAAUCUCCUUCUUGCUGCGAUUUCAAUGCACGUACUAUUCUCACGCAUGUAACGCCACAAAUAACAAGUCCCAACACUUCGGAAAACUCUGUUUCUGUGGCAUCAUACGUCAAUAACUUUAGUGUGUAUUUUGUAAACCACUCUUUUGCCAAAUUUCAAAUUUUUUGUCUAAAUUUGUAAAAUUUUACAUAAACAUUACUAAACCAA